rnacentral:miRNA from 1 species
CACAGCCCACCAGCUGCUUGGU